GAUGAAGAACGUAGCGAAAUGCGAUAAGUAAUGCGAAUUGCAGAAUUCAGUGAAUCAUCGAAUCUUUGAACGCACAUUGCGCCCGCUAGUAUUCUGGCGGGCAUGCCUGUCUGAGCGUCAUUUCAACCCUCGCCCCCGGCUUUUGCUGGGAGCGGUGUUGGGGAUCGGCCGCCCGUCACUGGGAGGCCGGCCCCGAAAUAGAGUGGCGACCACGCCGUGUGCUCCUCUGCGUAGUAGUAAAUCACCUCGCAGGCGGACAGCGGUGCGGCCCGCCGUAAAACCCCCAACUCUUUCUGGUUGACCUCAGAUCAGGUAGGAAUACCCGCUGAACUUAAGCAUAUCAUAAGCGGAGGA
rnacentral:misc_RNA from 1 species